UGGAAUUUAGUGUUAUUCGCUUGGAACGUGUUUCCAAGGGCCUCGAAACGUCUGUCGGCGGCCUCCCGCGGCGUGUCUGCAGCGUGUCUUACAGAAUUAAGUAAGAAUUAGAGAUCUGAGUCGCGAAAGUAGUGACAUGACAGUUCAAACGCUUCGCGCCGCCUCAUUGGUGUUGGCCUUUCUGUUUCCGGUGACGUGAUCGACGUGAUCGUGAGCAGGAGGGAGAAGAGACCAGUCUAGAAGGCAGUGAGGUGGAAUGCCAAAAAAGUGAGGAUAACCAGUUGCUGCAGCUGUGGAGAUAGUUUUGGUGUCCUUCCAUCGCCAUCGUGUCACUUCACCCUUGCAGCGAGGACAGUCAUUUUCUUGUCAGGAGAAUAACCAGUUGCUGUGCAGAUUCCUUUGGUUGCAGCGAGGACUGAAAUUCUCUUGU